AUUCUAUCUUCUGAUGUCUUCAGAGUGGUGUUGUGGUGCUUUGGCAAGUUAAAGCCACAAGAUCAUGCAUCCCUGCUUUCCCUGCCUUCUCAGUAUCUUGUCUUGCAAUCAAAUUCACUACUGUGGUUGUUCUGUUGAAUUGAAUUUGACUGCCAAAGGUGAUCAACUUUCAACCAACGAAGCUACUGUUAUUUUUUAUCGAAUUCGUAUAUAAGCAUACAUGGAGAAAAUAAUUCAAUUAAUAUGCAUGCCUUAUGCAGUUUUUUGACAUGCAAUUAUAUUAGGUAAAUUAGUUCACAAGGGCAAAAAAAGAUACAGGUGAUUUUUGAAUUAGCUACCUAAGAUAAAAGAAGAGAAAAAGAAAGGAAAGCAAGAAGACAUUAAGUUGAAAGAUAUUCUUCAACAUUAUUAACAUCUUCCUAAAAGGAAUUAUUUUUUCAGGUUUCAGUAGGUUAUUCCUGACCAUGAGGAGUUCCUUAAAUUCCAAUUGUCUUAUGGUCGAACAUUUUAUGCAAUUGCUUUCUAGAAAAAGCAUUGAUUUUACUGUUUUGUAUUAGAUUUCUUGUUUUCUGAUGUCUCCUUUUCGUCUAACUCAAUUACAUUGGUUACAGAAUGGUGCAUAACCUGUACAUGUCAAUCUCUGAGAGAAAAAUUGGCAAGAAAUGCUUCCUAAUGAGCUAUCUUCCUACACAACCAUUCUGUCUUACUGUAAGCUGAAGGCCACAAGAGAACAUUAUGUGCUCUAUGACCAUGACAAAUGAGAAAAAACUAUCAUGAUCUCAUCUCACAAUUGGUGAAAGGAACAAAUGACAAAGGAAGAGGGAACCCUU
rnacentral:lncRNA from 1 species